AGAGUUUGAUCCUGGCUCAGGAUGAACGCUAGCUACAGGCUUAACACAUGCAAGUCGAGGGGAAACGGCAUUGAGUGCUUGCACUCUUUGGACGUCGACCGGCGCACGGGUGAGUAACGCGUAUCCAACCUUCCCAUUACUGUGGGAUAACCUGCCGAAAGGCAGACUAAUACCGCAUAGUCUUCGAUGACGGCAUCAGAUUUGAAGUAAAGAUUUAUCGGUAAUGGAUGGGGAUGCGUCUGAUUAGCUUGUUGGCGGGGUAACGGCCCACCAAGGCGACGAUCAGUAGGGGUUCUGAGAGGAAGGUCCCCCACAUUGGAACUGAGACACGGUCCAAACUCCUACGGGAGGCAGCAGUGAGGAAUAUUGGUCAAUGGACGGAAGUCUGAACCAGCCAAGUAGCGUGCAGGAUGACGGCCCUAUGGGUUGUAAACUGCUUUUAUGCGGGGAUAAAGUGGCCCACGUGUGGGUUUUUGCAGGUACCGCAUGAAUAAGGACCGGCUAAUUCCGUGCCAGCAGCCGCGGUAAUACGGAAGGUCCAGGCGUUAUCCGGAUUUAUUGGGUUUAAAGGGAGUGUAGGCGGUUUGUUAAGCGUGUUGUGAAAUUUAGGUGCUCAACAUUUAACUUGCAGCGCGAACUGUCAGACUUGAGUACACGCAACGUAUGCGGAAUUCAUGGUGUAGCGGUGAAAUGCUUAGAUAUCAUGAAGAACUCCGAUUGCGAAGGCAGCAUACGGGAGUGUAACUGACGCUUAAGCUCGAAGGUGCGGGUAUCGAACAGGAUUAGAUACCCUGGUAGUCCGCACAGUAAACGAUGGAUGCCCGCUGUUAGCGCCUGGCGUUAGCGGCUAAGCGAAAGCAUUAAGCAUCCCACCUGGGGAGUACGCCGGCAACGGUGAAACUCAAAGGAAUUGACGGGGGCCCG
rnacentral:rRNA from 1 species